GACGCUGAACGUCAGGGUAUGGCCAGUCGCAAGGCACGUUAGAACAUUGAUUUUGCUUGUUUCCAAAUGCCCAAUACUCUCCGUGCUCUCUAUUGAUUUUGUGAUGCCACAAGGAAGAAUUAUUAACCGGGGGAAUGGGGGAUGUGCAGCAGAUUAUGGUGUGGGAGAUUUUGGUGGCUUAAACGAUGUUAGAAUAGAGAAUUUUGGAGGAAAUGUGACAGAAAUGGCGCUUGUGAGGCAUUUGCUGGCUAGAACACCUCAUUUACAUAUAAUGAGGAUUGAGAUGAACCCUCUUCUGGACGACAUUGAUGCAGACUUGAAGAUCCAUCAGAUACUUGAAUAUUGGAGAGCUUCUCCAAGAGCUAAUAUCAUUUUUGACUAAUGUCAUGUAGUCAUUGCAACAGUGUGGUGGAAGACUGAAGCGUCAACACAAGUUGUGUUUGGAGUUGAUGAUGUUUGGGAUUGGUUGUAUG